rnacentral:lncRNA from 1 species
UGACUGAUCUUAAAAUUUUUAAAAUUAAAAUUUUGUGAUUAUUGACCUCUGUUGCAUUUAUUCUAAAAUCCCCCCAAAAUUAUCUAGUCAUUUCCAAGUAUCAACAUUACCCUGGUGUAUUCACUGCUGUAUGCAUUAUUGUUCUUUGUUAUUGUUUUAUGCCUUCAGAUUAGCAAAAUAUGAAAUUCUGUGAAGAAACAAAAACUUUGAUCUCAAAAAACCAAAUCACCCCCCUUCCGUAGCAGGAAACAAAUUGCUUGUUCUUGAAAACUUUUCCAUCAAGAAUUUAGUAGAAGCAGGUAUACU